UGCAGUCGACGCUUUGUGGUUCAACUGAUUUGAAGAGCUUGCUCAGAUAUGACGAUGGACAUUGCAAAGAGUGGCGAACGGGUGAGUAACACGUGGGAAACCUACCUCUUAGCAGGGGAUAACAUUUGGAAACAGAUGCUAAUACCGUAUAACAAUGACAACCGCAUGGUUGUUAUUUGAAAGAUGGUUCUGCUAUCACUAAGAGAUGGUCCCGCGGUGCAUUAGCUAGUUGGUAAGGUAAUGGCUUACCAAGGCGAUGAUGCAUAGCCGAGUUGAGAGACUGAUCGGCCACAAUGGGACUGAGACACGGCCCAUACUCCUACGGGAGGCAGCAGUAGGGAAUCUUCCACAAUGGGCGAAAGCCUGAUGGAGCAACGCCGCGUGUGUGAUGAAGGGUUUCGGCUCGUAAAACACUGUUGUAAGAGAAGAAUGACAUUGAGAGUAACUGUUCAAUGUGUGACGGUAUCUUACCAGAAAGGAACGGCUAAAUACGUGCCAGCAGCCGCGGU
rnacentral:rRNA from 1 species